CAUGGCGGCACUAGCGCGGUGGUCCCACCUGACCCCAUGCCGAACUCAGAAGUGAAACGCCGUAGCGCCGAUGGUAGUGUGGGGUCUCCCCAUGCGAGAGUAGGGAACUGCCAGGC
rnacentral:rRNA from 1 species